rnacentral:lncRNA from 1 species
UACCUGCAAACAUCCGACUCUACUCUUUGUGCAUAAAUCGUACAGUAAUGAACUCCACUUUUACUCAAGGAGCCCCGCCACUGAUACUGCAAGUAUGGUUCAGAACUAACCAAAUUCAAAGAUUCCGAUAAUGGAGGUGGCGGGGGAGGCGGGGAACUAGGUGGAGGAGGAAUAUUAGGUGGGUCAGGAUAAGGUGGUGGAGGCGGGGAUGAAGGUAAUGGAGGCUGCAAGACAGGUGGAGGUAAUGGGGGUAAUGAGUCGAGCUGAGGAGGUGGUGGUGGUAAAGACGUAACUGGUGGUCGAACAACAGGCACGGGAAACAUAUGAUCAAAUGGUGGCAUGGAGGUGCCUUGCAUCUGUGACAGUGGAGUCACAGAAGCAGGUACAAAUGGUGGUGCAACUGAACAAUGGUGGAGAUUAGUAGGAAGUGCACCAGAUGGAAUUGGAUUUGGAGGCAAGUUAUGGUUCAGACCACGUGAAUCCCACCCAGUUGGGGGGAAGUACAUUGGGAGCCCAAAGGGCGGCGGUUGUGCUUGCUGUGGUGGUGCAAUAGGAGGUCCUUGAAUUGGCUGUGCUGCUGCAGGAGGAAGUGCUUGAACUGGCGGCGGCACGGUAGGAGGUCCUUGAAUAGGCUGUAGUGGUCUAGUAGGCAAUUGAGGAGGUGCAGGAUUGCAGGCAACAAUUGCCGGUCUAGAAUGAAGCUCUGCUUCAGUUUUCCUGUGCAUCCACAUGUCAUUAACAACACCAGAGAAUAUAUUAUUACCUGCAGAAAUCAUCAGGAGAACCGUAUGACAAUGAGUAUGACAAUGAGCAUCAAACUGCUACUGGAAAGAUCACAACUAGAGUAAUGGACAAGUACCUCUAGGUGAUGGAAUCGGAACCAACAUAUCAGCUUUUCCAGUACCAACUUCGGGCAUCCCUCUGCUUGCUAAAGGUGUCCAGUUCGACUGAGGUGCAUAUCCAGCAUGAGGCAUGCUAGCUUGCUCUGGUUUUAGUCUGGGUGAUGUGAGUUCCAUAAUACUACCUUCAUUUUUUACAGGAGCAGGAAUAUGAUGCUGCCCAGGGUGACUGUUUGAACAACAGGAGGAGAAGCUCAAUUGUUAAGCUCAGAUUAUAGAGCAAGACCGUCCUAAGCUUUUAACACAAUGUAAAGCACUCUAGGUAUACAGGAACCAAAAACAAAAGAUAAGAAGAGAGUGUUAGAAAUUCAAAUGUGACAAAUCAUUCAAAUGACUCCAGAUCUUUUCAAAAAUUUCUAGGUUUGUUAAGGGGGAAAAACACUACUUUUUUUUAUAACCACGGCAUUCGGGCCAGCUUGCGCGCACCUCGACUAAUUCCACGGGGUACUUGCUACCUGCCACCAGCAUAGGUACCGAGUAACUCUGUCCAGUAAGGCUUGGGUUGAUGCGAAGAAACCACCUAGUCUUUUUGUCUCCGCUGGAAUUUGAACCUAAGACCUUAUGGUUCUCAACCCACUUCAUUGACCGCUAGGCACACCCUUGGGUGCUAAUUCAAGUGCAUCACUUUUCACCACAGGUCUAUGAAGGUUACAGAAAAGUUUCGGUAAGGUUUCCAUAAACAUGCCUAUUUCUGAAUUCAAUGCACGCAAGUGUAUCACUCGUGAUCAGAGCUGCAAGGGACUGCUAAGGGCAAAUUUCAACAUGGGAAAGAUUGAAGGACAUACUAUCUGUGUACACUCAGGUUUUCAAUAAAGCUUGGUUGUUAUCGGGAAAGGUAACUUCCAUGAUAUAUGUCAUUAAAAUUCUCCAACAUUUUUUUUUCUUUUUUGAUAUGGAACAUUCCCCAACACUCUUGAGGGAUAUAGCUAUGUGGUAAAUCAUAUCUUAAAUAUAAGGAAAAUUAACAGGUAAGUUUUUUGACGACUACACACUAAACAGAGACAAACUCGUCCAAAAACAAGAGGACUUGUUCCCAAUCAGAGUGGGAAAGACUAGAAAAGUACAGAAAUCAAAUUGUCGCUUUAAACCUAUAAUAAACAAUCAAAUAGCACUAGAACAAAGACGUUGAAAAAUAUCAGUGUCGAGUGAAUUAAAACCUGACAAGCAGCUCGAAGCAAUUACAUACCUGAACUCUUUCCCCCUUUUCCGUUUUGGGGCUUGUGGGGUUUUUUUUUUUGUUUGUUGGGGGGGGGGGGAGGUAAAAUGUACAUACCUGAAUUCUAUCUGGAAGAAUAACCCAGGACAAUCACGAAGAGUCUUCAGGAGAGUAUUUGCAGAAUCCAUGCUGCUGCAUUCAACUAGCCAACAAGAACCCAUAGGCAUAUUUUCCCUCAUUAACCUGAUGAUAGAACCUUUGUUGUCAAUGGCAAGAUUACAAAUAGCCAAAAGCUCAUCUUCUGUGAUAAACAAGGAGCUACCAUUUGGAAUACUAAUCCGUACUGUAUUUGUCUGCAUUGUAUCUCCUCCCAAGAAUCCAGUUUCACAGUUCCCUGGCAUGUGAUGACUCUUAUAGCCAGGAUUGUAUGUAACAUUAUAUUUGGUACUUAACUGCGAAAGCAAAGAAGAUAGACGUGACAUUCUUGGAACAUGACUGUCAGAAUGGUUCUCAAGCAUGUUCUGGGAGUGAUUUGGCCCAACAGUACUAUUGGUACAAAUAUUGCUUCCAAUACC